rnacentral:tRNA from 1 species
GAGACACUAGUAAAAACUAUUACGCAGCCUCGUCAAGGCUGAGUCGCGAGUUGGACUCUCGCGUGUUUCA